GGCUCUGUAAGGAGAUGAAAGUAGAAGGAGCUUUAGAGCAAGUGAUCACCAUUCAGCAACCCCACGUGUGGAAAAUGCUAACGCGUGUGGAGGGCUGAUGUGCAGGGAGUGCUUGGAACAUAGGCCAAGUCUCUAAGAUAGAAACCAGGGAAAGCUGUUAGGGGCCUGGAGCUGCCAGAGAAGAAACCUCAGAGUGCGAAUCUGUGAAUCCUGUAACUGCAGCAGAAACGAGCAAGCUUCCACUUGGAAAUCUCCAGGCACCAGGAAAUACUGCGUUACUUCUCACCCACCACGUGGGAGCUGGAAGAGAUGGCUCAGUGGCUAAGAUGGCUGCCCCUGAAGACCUACCUAAUUCAGUUCCCAGCACCUACACGGCAGUGCACAAGCAUCUAUAGUUCCAAGAUCUCAGGAUCUGAAAUGCCCUCCAGAGAGCUUCUACUUGUUUACUCUUGUCCAAUAUGACAAGCUGGAGGAAUUCUAGGUAACCCGCAUGCAAACUAUCAAAGAGCUCAUUUUAAAAGCCAUGUGUAAGGUUUGUUCCUAAUAAAAAAUAUUUUAACAA
rnacentral:lncRNA from 1 species